CACAUGCUUAGUUCCCCAAAGCGAAAAGCCACGCAGUUGGAGAAAACGCGGAACAUUGUAACACAAGGAAGACGAAAUCUUCCUGUUGGUGUCAAAGUGCGAUUAUUUUUGAAUGUUUUAUCUACUUAUGCCCCAAAAGAUUUGAUUUUCCUCUAGAGUAAGAGGUGCUGGCCAAAGACAGUAACAUCAACAUGACAAAAAUACAUUUGACAAUUACAUUUGUAUUUUUCCUGUUACGAAGGAUAAGAUGUGUACAAGAAGAAAAAUGCGAAGAGUUGAACAUUCAUUCUUUAAAGGGAGACACUGUCUCAAUUCCUGAAAACAACUAUGUGAGCUAUAUUUUCUGGCUGGACACUUCGGCCUGUAAACAGUCCCAAGCGAUCUACAGACUGGAGGUACAGACCAAAACGAAGGAUGGCACUUAUGAAUAUGACGGACGGGUCAUCCAGUGGAACAACACAUGUAUUGUCACAUAUGAGAAGUCAGUUCGCUGUCUCAGUAAGAAUGGUCCUGCAGAAAUGUACAGAAAACUCAAUCAAACACACGUUGAAAUCGAAUGGACAGUUUCCUGGAAAGAUGUAGAUUCUGGCAGUUUGAGAACCAUAAACCUAAGCAUGUUUGACCCAUCUCACAUCAAAAACCUGACUUUGAAGAGACGUGAAAUUAAUGGUUCUGCUUCGUUUCCUGGCAUGCCUCCAAAUCAAGAUCAUCAUACUAAAGAAAAGGGUGCGUACUCUCCAAGUACAUCUGUGUACUUAAUUAUGAACCUACUAAGGAAAAAAAAAAAUAAACCAUGAAUGUGACAAAUUUGCACUCUACAUGCAAAACUGAAAAAAAAAUCACAAAAAUAGAUCAUAUUUUAUAGCUUAAAGACUGUAGGAACUCUCUAGAGAAAGACUUUAUUAACCAACCAUCCAUGCAUUUUUACAUUUAGAAGCCUUUGAGUAACUGCUCUACUUUCCCUUGAUAAAAAGGUGAUCUGUUACUGGCUUGUCAAGGCUUGUCAGACUUAAAUGGUAAAUUCCAUCAAUGGCAGCAUGUUUCCAGCUUGGUAACUUUUUUUUGGAAAAUUUGUGAAAACAUAGAACAAAAUCUAACAACACAGUAGAUUCAUUUCCGCGUAGGAAACGUAAACUGAAGGCAAAUCGGGAACUCCAAAAAUAAAUACCGUGAUCAAGGUAGUCUCAUAAAGCCAUAACCUGGAUAAUCAAGCUAGAAGAUAGUAAUUAUCUUAUACACAGUUUUUAAAAAAGACUUCAUUUCUUUUUUAUUCUUGCGAGUGCCUCUACUAUUUUUUCAUUUGUUUUGAUUUACUAUUCUAUGUCUACAUGUAGAAAUAUUAAUUUUGUGUUAUUUAUGAAACAAUGAGCGUACUUUUAGAACUGCAGAUUUUACGAAGUUAUAAAAAGCUGCAAAUGAUGUUUAUAUAUUUCCAACAAUUUGUUUGAAUAAUGUCUGUUGGGUGCUUUGCUCAAAAGCUAUGGUGUUGACAAAUAUUAUGUUAGCCCAGUCUUGGUCAUUAUUGACCAAACGUUGGGUGUUACAUGAUCCACUACAAAUUUUGGAAAUCAGAUAGCCGAGUGGUUAGAACAUACAUGUCCUAACCCAGAGGCACACCAGUUCAAUUCUUGUGUGCCUCAGUGAACUUCUCACAGUCAACUCGGUUGUCAGAAAUGGAAACCUGACUUUAGUGUUAAGGAAGAUAAAGCAGCAAGAGGGACAAAGGAUAGAUACUGCCCUCUCAAAAAACUGGCCCCAGGAAAAGGCACCAAAUGACCUUAGAAAAGGUGGGGACGAUCUUUACCUCACUGUAUUUGUCUCCUAACUUUUCACUCAUCUGACAGUGUUUGAACAACUGAUUUCAUAUUGCUUCACAAUGGCGAAUAAACUGAAGGUAUGUACAUGUAUACACGUAGGCCUCAUGCUCUUCAGAAGUAGCACAUUCCCAUGUUUGAUAACUACGUACAUACCUAAAAGCACACACAUUUUUGUUUUGUUUCAUUGUGUAAGCAUGGCAGAUCAUCUACACGUGAUUAAAGUAAAUUUUAAGCAAUCUGACGAUUGUGGCAGUACUAAAUUAAUCCAAGAAACAUUUAUCCUGACAUUAUGAGCCUUUUUUUGAGUUAAGAAUCUCUUGAUCAACUUUUAGACAGAAGAGAAAAUACAGUUCAGAGAAAAGUUCUGCGGGUUUCUUGUCCAAAACCAUUCAGGAGAGCGUUAAUUUAGUCCUUGUUACUCCUCAAGGAGAUGGGCCUACAUAGUUCCAACAUCCUUUGCUUCACUCUCUACUAUUCUUUUCCAACUCUGAAGGAUUAACAGUGGCGCAAGAAACAUUGGUUGGGAAGACCUUCAUUGAGCAUCACUUCAAUGCUUGGAACCUUCGCUAGAAGACUGGAAAAACACAGCUGAAAACAAGGAAAGUAAAGAUUUAAGCCUCACUUUGAUGACCAAAAAUCUAAAUUAAGUGCUGAAGGUUUUAUAAGUGGUCGACUUGUUUUUGUUGUUGUUUAUUUGGUAUGGGGAAUACACACUAUGAUGAUGAUGAUGUCGAUUUGUAAUGCGCAGGUAUCCAUUCCGAAGAAUGCUCAUUGCGCAGAAAAAAAAAGA
rnacentral:misc_RNA from 1 species